CAUGUAGGCGGUUUGUCAAGUCUGAUGUGAAAGCCCGGGGCUCAACCCCGGAAGUGCAUUGGAAACUGGCAAACUUGAGUACGUGAGAGGAAAGUGGAAUUUCGAGUGUAGGGGUGAAAUCCGUAGAUAUUCGAAGGAACACCAGUGGCGAAGGCGGCUUUCUGGACCGAUACUGACGCUGAGAUGCGAAAGCGUGGGGAGCAAACA
rnacentral:rRNA from 1 species